CAUCGAUGGCAUCUUACAACUACCAUCCGCCCGGGUACUACGAGCAUUAGCUUAAAACCCAAAGGACUUGGCGGUGCUUUAGACCCACCUAGAGGAGCCUGUUCUAAAACCGAUAACCCCCGUUAAACCUCACCCUUCCUUGUUUUUCCCGCCUAUAUACCACCGUCGUCAGCUUACCCUGUGAAGGCUUAAAUAGUAAGCAAAAUUGGCACAGCCCAAAACGUCAGGUCGAGGUGUAGCGUAUGGAGGGGGAAGAAAUGGGCUACAUUCCCUAAUCUAGCGCAUACGGACAACACGCUGAAACACGUAUUCGAAGGAGGAUUUAGCAGUAAGCAGAAAAUAGAGUGUUCUGCUGAAACUGGCCCUGAAGCGCGC
rnacentral:rRNA from 1 species